rnacentral:lncRNA from 10 species
UCCCCCGCCCACCGCGGGCCGCGUCUUGCGCCUGCGCCUUGUGUCACGGGCCGAAGGAAGUCAGCUGUGGGGUAGAUUUGUACGAGAUCGCUGGACCCUAAGGAACCCAGAAAAUGCAAGCAAGGUGACUAAAUGACUAGCACCAGUCUAUUUGGGAACUAAGGAAUCAAAAGAAGAGGAGAAAGGUACUAUUUUUCAUUUCCCCCAAACCCUCACAAGGACA